GAUGAAGAACGUAGCGAAAUGCGAUAAGUAGUGUGAAUUGCAGAAUUCAAUGAAUCAUCGAAUCUUUGAACGCACAUUGCGCCCCUUGGUAUUCCAUGGGGCAUGCCUGUUCGAGCGUCAUUUGUACCUUCAAGCUUUGCUUGGUGUUGGGUGUUUGUCCAUUCUCUUGCAGAGGGACUCGCCUUAAAGUAAUUGGCAGCCAGUGUUUUGGUUUUGAAGCGCAGCACAAGUCGCGAUUCAACGCUAUACGCCAGCUUCCACAAGCCUUUUUCACUUUUGACCUCGGAUCAGGUAGGGAUACCCGCUGAACUUAAGCAUAUCAAUAAGCGGAGGA
rnacentral:misc_RNA from 1 species